rnacentral:misc_RNA from 1 species
GAGAGGGCGCAAUUUUCGCGGCUUUCUGGUCGGUCGCGACGGCGCGCGGUGAACGACUGGCGGUAUGAGUUGGGUUUUUAUCCGGUCCAUAACAGUGAUAAUAUUGAGAAAAAAAGCAGUAAACCGUCAAAGGUCAACAUAUUAAUAGGUGCAGUCUCAUACUUGUAUAAGCAUAUCCGAAAUGCAAACAAAGCCAGCAGUGGCAAGAAACCAGUGGUCGACCAUGUGCGAUGUGCCUGGGCCUAGCAUGCCUGCCUAGUCACUGAUCUAAAAUUUACAUCAUCGUAACUGGUUACAUUACAUGCAAUGGCUCAGCAUGACUACGAUUGUGUUGUGGUAGGAGCAGGCGUAGAAGGGUCGGCUACGGGCUACCACCUGACAAGAACCGGUCACAAGACACUGCUGCUUGAACAGUUCACGCUGGGACACAGUAAAGGGAGCUCCCAUGGCCAGUCUCGUAUCACCCGCUACACGUACCGGCAGAUACACUACGCCAACAUGAUGCCAGAAUGCUUCCAGACGUGGGAGCGACUGGGCCGAGAAGUAGGCACUGAGCUUUACAGAAAUACUGGUUUACUAUCAGUCAAUGGCCCACCAUACCAGGACUUCACACUCCGCAGCGAAUCCCUUCGAGUCAUGGGCAAGCCGUGCGAGUUGCCGACGGUCGGGGAGAUCUGCCAGCGUCACCCUGGUUUCAGCUUCGGUCCGGAGCACAAGGCGUUUGUCGAUCCCAACGGUGGGGUGUUGAGGGCCGACAGUUGCCUCCGCGCUUUACAGACAAUGUUCGUGAAGCAGGGAGGAGUCAUAAAAGAAAACGAAAAAGUCUUGGAAAUUAUCCCCGGCGAACAUGUGGUUAUCGUGACCAGCAGAGGGCGGUAUACAGCCAAGAGUGUGGUCCUCACCCCGGGAGCCUGGGCAUCGAAGAUGCUGAGACCGCUAGGGAUUGAUCCUCCACUGAAGGUCACCCAAAUCAAAGUUUGCUAUUGGCCAGAGCGACAGCCUGGUGCGUUCGGCAACUACCCAUGCUUCUACUAUCUCUCGGAGAAAUACGAGACUUACGGAUUGCCCUGUGAUGACCACUCUGGGCUGGUCAAGGUGUGCAAUCAUCACGGUGACGAUCUGCAAGGGCCAGAUCAACAAAACCAGGUGCAAUACUCACACCAGAUUGAAACGUUAAAGAGUUUCAUCAGAGAACAUGUGCCCGGACUCAUGCCAGAACCGUCUCUCGUUGAAAACUGCCUGUACACAAGCACACCUGAUAAAGACAUAAUAUUAGACAUGCAUCCCGAUCAUCCUAACAUCGUCAUAGGCUGUGGGUUUUCAGGUCACGGUUUCAAGUUAGCGCCCGCAGUGGGGAGAAUCCUGAGUGAGUUGGCAACAGGGACCACGCCCAGCUACGACAUAUCGCCCAUGAGUUUGAAACGGUUCCCUAACAACGGCAGACUUGCCGCUAAAGUUUAGACAUUAGCUAAACUGUCAGUCAUUAGUCCCCAAUUAACAGGCUUUUGAGAACAACUGAUUUAAAGGUGCUGAAGCAGUUAUGGCCCAAAGUGUUUAGUUUAUUUUUGAAAAUUAGUAAAUAUGUGCUUGGUCUGUUGAAACCGGCUAUAGGGGCCUGGACGACGAUAAUUAGCUGAGCUGAAGACGAGGGUAAAAAACUCUCUAACUUUCAACCAAAAAUUUGUUUAACAAUUUUAAUUCAUGUUUUGUGAAACACCCCUCUGGCCAUGACUAUGGUAUGUGCCUCGCGCGCUUAGUGCUAAAAAUCUCCUUGUAUGUGUGACCAGGCACUUUCAGUGCAUUGCCCCUUUAAGACUAGUUUAGCUCAAUGGUACAAGGAAGGCCCACUGGUUGCCCUAGUAACAGCCACCCACUGGAGUUCAUAGACCCUGAGAUGUGGUCAGUGUGGUCAGUGUGAACAGUCUGAACUUUCAGCAUUUUCAUUCUUAGCCAUCAUCGUGGAAGCAUCUAUUCCUAUGCUCCAGUCGUCCUAGUCAAGAACUCAGUGCUCAUUUCCCAUCCUUGUUCUGUAAGUUACAUAUCAUUCUUUAUUUCUCAUUAUUACUAGUCUACAGUUCAUAUUUGUGUUCAUAGUUAUUAUUAUUUAGGAUGAUGAUUUAGUGCAUUUUAAUUGUUGGGAUAAGUUUAUCACUUUUCGUGACUCCCUGAAACUGUUGGGCAAGUCCACUAGGGAUUUAUCCAUUUCAUUUGAGGAGUUCAAGUUCAUUGUAUUUUGAUAUUCUCUUAUCCUUAUCGGAUUUCUUACUAUUUGAUUUACUUUUACUUCUUGCAAAGUUCUUUGCUAGUUUAAGCUAAAGUUUAGUUACUUUUUAUCUUUGGGUUAUUCUUACUAUUUGUUCACUUAUUCAGAGUGGUUGAGGUAUAUUUAAUUCUGUAAUUCACAAUUCAGUUAUUAAGUUAUUCGCUUAAUAUUUGAGCAAACUUUGGGGGACUACUCCUUAUUAGAAAACAUGCAGUUAAAAUGAAUGUACAUAUAUGGACUAUGGAGACCACACCCUAAGACUGCCAGCACUGCAUCUUGUGGUUUAUCUUGGAAGAAGGAGUAUUGGAGUACACCAGCUGGUAGAGUCAUUAGGAACCUCCACUCCAGGUUCAUAGCUGAGUGUAGAAUCUGUGGUUUAAGUUGCAUAUCAAUAACAGGCAUAGCUACAUGUGUGGGUAUAAUAUCGAUACUGUGUGCUGUGUGAGUAGGGUUGUGUACAGCUUCUGGUAAUUGCUAUGUGAUCAGUGCACCAAAGUUGUUGUGAAUAUUUAAGUAGGUGGAUAAAGGAACAACUUGUUCAUGGAUAAUUCUACUUAAGAGCAUAAUUUCCUCAACCAGGAACCUUUAUUCUUUGACGAAAGAAUUCAAGAAGUUUGGAAUUUGUUUGAUUUAAUUUUGAUUUAACUUUGAUUUAAUUUUCCUAUUUCCUAUACUCUAGUUUACUGUAGUUAUAUACUUUACAUAGUUUAAUGUUUACUUAUUAUUGUUUCCUUUCUGUUUUUCAUUAUAGACUUACCCGUCAACUCUUUUUCUUUGUUGCUGUUAAAAUAAACUUGUAAAAAGAACCAAUAUCCGGGUCACAUAUGGAAACAGGCAAGCGCGUGGCGCGUACUGCGCGAUGUGGUGCAGAACGCAGCAGUGUUUACCUGUGGCUUAAAACUACCCACGUGGCGGCCCUCGGCCAAUAUGAAUGAGCAAACUGUCCCAGGUAUUUAUGAAUGUUCAUUUGCGUGGAAUUCAUAACCCUAUGAACAACUCGGAGAAGACACAUUUCGGAGUGGAGAAUUAUAAAUUCAAUUCAUAUACAUACCUUGAUUACCUCACGUGUAAACUAAUAUGAAUGAUCACCUUUUAACGUUUUCAAGGAUACUUCAAGUUUGAUAUGUGUGUACAAUAACACAAUUUGUAAAUCUAUGCACUGCCAAUUGGUUAUUCGUAUAAAACUAUUUUGCUUCAAUUUUUAUUCGAUAUAAUGUCUCGAUUUUAUUAUAUGUAUUUAAUGAAAGGUACGAUUUAAGAUAUAGUAUUGAUGGAUACUCGAUACUUGAGAACAAGAAGAGAGUGUCAUACGUGCUGAAAUAUAUAAAAGAAAUUGUAAAAACAAAUUUGAUAAAUUAAAGAAACUAUGCACACUA